rnacentral:rRNA from 1 species
GCAAGUCGAGCGGUAAGGCUCCUUCGGGAGUACACGAGCGGCGUAAGGGAGAGUUACGCGUGGUUUACCUGCCCUAGGGUCCAGAAUAGCUUCGGGAAACUGAAGGUAAUGCUGGAUAAUAUCUCCGGAUCAAAGGUGAGAUUCCGCCCUAGGAGGGGACCGCGUUCUAUUAGCUUGUUGGUGGGGUAACGGCCUACCAAGGCUUUGAUGGAUACCGGGUGUGAGAGCAUGGCCCGGCUCACUGGGACUGAGACACUGCCCAGACACCUACGGGUCGAGAAUCUUCGGCAAUGGGCGCAAGCCUGACCGAGCGACGCCGCGCGUGGGAUGAAGGCCUUCGGGUUGUAAACCACUGUCAGUUGGGAGGAAAUCCGUGGGGGCUAUCCCCCAUGGUUGACCUAUCUUCAGAGGAAGGACGGCUAAGUUCGUGCCAGCAGCCGCGGUAAUACGAACCGUCCAAACGUUAUUCGGAAUCAUUGGGCUUAAAGGGUGCGUAGGCGGUCAGUUGGGUGUGAAAUCCCUCGGCUCAACCGAGGAACUGCGCCCAAUACUGCCACACUCGAGGGAGACAGAGGUAAGCGGAACUGAUGGUGGAGCGGUGAAAUGCGUUGAUAUC